rnacentral:rRNA from 1 species
CUACGCACUCCUACGGGAGGCAGCAGUGGGGGAAUAUUGCACGAAUGGGCGCAAGCCUGAUGCAGCCAUGCCGCGUGUAUGAAGAAGGCCUUCGGGUUGUAAAGUACUUUCAGCAGUGAGGAAGGUGGGUAUGUUAAUAGCAUAUUCAUUUGACGUUAGCUGCAGAAGAAGCACCGGCUAACUCCGUGCCAGCAGCCGCGGUAAUACGGAGGGUGCGAGCGUUAAUCGGAAUUACUGGGCGUAAAGCGCAUGCAGGUGGUUUGUUAAGUCAGAUGUGAAAGCCCGGGGCUCAACCUCGGAAUUGCAUUUGAAACUGGCAAACUAGAGUACUGUAGAGGGGGUAGAAUUUCAGGUGUAGCGGUGAAAUGCGUAGAGAUCUGAAGGAAUACCGGUGGCGAAGGCGGCCCCCCUGGACAGAUACUGACACUCAGAUGACGAAAGCGGUGGGGAGCAAACAGGAUUAGAUACCCUGGUAG